rnacentral:rRNA from 1 species
UACAGAGGUCCCAAGCGUUGUUCGGAUUCAUUGGGCGUAAAGGGUGCGUAGGCGGCGCGGUAAGUCGGGUGUGAAAUCUCGGAGCUUAACUCCGAAACUGCAUUCGAUACUGCCGUGCUUGAGGACUGGAGAGGAGACUGGAAUUUACGGUGUAGCGGUGAAAUGCGUAGAUAUCGCAAGGAAGACCAGUGGCGAAGGCGGGUCUCUGGACAGUUCCUGACGCUGAGGCACGAAGGCCAGGGGAGCAAACGGG